AACUGGGCCUGCUCUAGCGAUAGACAGACUAGGUUCACGCCUAGGGCGCCAAAAGUUGAAGACUAUUUGAUAAUGUACUAUACUACUGAUAAGGCUACAUAUUUUAAUUUGUUUUUCUGCCUUUGGGAGCGCCAAAUUUGGAAUCUGCCUAGAGCGCCAAAAACUUUUUUGGCCGGCGCUAGUUAUAAAUACAUAUUUCCAUGUAUCCAGAAACUUUCUGGUGUAGCUGUUUUAAAGACAAAAUAUCGAUCUGGUUUAGUGAUUGAAAAAGAAUGGCAAGUAGUCAUGACACCCCGAUUUGAGAGAAUUUAUGCUGAAGAACAAGCCCACCUGUUGCUUUAAAUAUUAUGUUGC
rnacentral:lncRNA from 1 species